CUCUGCAGCAUUAAGUGCUUCAAUGCUUUCUGUUGCAUUAUCAUAGGCUUGUACAGCAGCAACACAAUCAUUUCCUAGCUUUGCCAAGGCAUUUUGCUCAGUCGGGUUGUCAUGAUAUGAUUGUGCAACAGUGAACAGAUGUAUAAAAAAUUCUUUUGUGAAAUCUUUGCGACGCCUAGUAACAACUUCACUAAUCUUUGAUGGUUCCUUCUUGAUCACUUCAAUAAGUUCAUUAUGCCUUUGCACAUCUUCGUCGAUCUCUUUCAGCUUCCUUGCAAGCCUGAGUAGCUUAUGCUUCAUCCCAGGAUCACGCUCA
rnacentral:misc_RNA from 1 species